GAUGAACGCUGGCGGCGUGCCUAAUACAUGCAAGUCGAGCGAACGGACGAGAAGCUUGCUUUUCUGAUGUUAGCGGCGGACGGGUGAGUAACACGUGGAUAACCUACCUAUAAGACUGGGAUAACUUCGGGAAACCGGAGCUAAUACCGGAUAAUAUUUUGAACCGCAUGGUUCAAAAGUGAAAGACGUUCUUGCUGUCACUUAUAGAUGGAUCCGCGCUGCAUUAGCUAGUUGGUAAGGUAACGGCUUACCAAGGCAACGAUGCAUAGCCGACCUGAGAGGGUGAUCGGCCAAACUGGAACUGAGACACGGUCAAGACGCCUAAGGGAGGCAGCAGAAGGGAAUAUUCCGCAAUGGGCGAAAGCAUGACGGAGCAAAGCCGCGUGAGUGAUGAAGGACUUCGGAUCGUAAAACUCUGUUAUUAGGGAAGAAAAUAUGUGUAAGUAAAUGUGCACAGAUUGACGGUACCUAAUCAGAAAGCAACGGCUAACUACGUG
rnacentral:rRNA from 1 species